rnacentral:tRNA from 1 species
GUAAAAAUACCACAAAGGUAGUGGGUCUGUUUUAGGAACAGAACAUAUUAGUUCAACUCUAAUUUUUUAUG